UACAGAGGUCCCAAGCGUUGUUCGGAUUCACUGGGCGUAAAGGGCGCGUAGGUGGCGGCCCAAGUCCAUGGUGAAAGCUCGAUGCUCAACAUCGAGUCGGCCACGGAUACUGGGUUGCUGGAGCACUGUAGGGGCAGAUGGAAUUCCGGGUGUAGCGGUGGAAUGCGUAGAGAUCCGGAAGAACACCGGUGGCGAAGGCGGUCUGCUGGGCAGUUGCUGACACUGAGGCGCGACAGCGUGGGGAGCAAACAGG
rnacentral:rRNA from 1 species